ACACAUUCUGCGAAUAACCUCAACAAACAAACAACGAGAACGGAUUGCAACGCAACGAUUGCAACUGCAACAAGGAAGAAACAAACAAAGGUCUUAUCGUAUUGUUUUGUGGACAUUAUUUCGCUUCAGAGAGUAAAGAUGACGAACCCUCCAAAGUCUUUUAAGGAGAAGAAAACUUUCGCACAGCGAGUUAAAGAUGUCCAAAAAGUCAGGGAAAAGUACCCUAACAAAAUACCAAUUAUAGUUGAGAGAUUUAAAAAGGAAAAGCAGCUUCCUUUGUUGUCUCGCUCAAAAUUUUUGGUACCAGACCAUGUCCCAGUUGGGUACAUUAUCACCCAAAUCAGGCGAAUGCUGAACUUAAAUCCCACACAAGCUGUCUUCCUUUUGGUUAAUCAAAGAAGCAUGGCAAGCCAUUCUAUGUCAAUGUUUCAACUGUACAACCAGGAGAAGGACCCCGAUGGUUUUCUUUAUAUUGUCUAUGCAUCUCAAGAAACUUUCGGCUGAUGAAACUUUCUUCUCAACUUUUCUCCAUUAAGUUUCUUUGUUUUUUUGUUAUUUUUUUAAAUUAAUUUUUAUUUUUACUUUAUUCCAUUGACCUGAAAUUUUACAUAGGAUAAAUUUGUAUUUUCAUGAACUUCAUCUUCUACCAAAUAUAGAUGACCCAGGUACCUUCCAUGAUACCAUGUGGAAAUCCUUGCAUUGUGCUGAAACAUGCACAUGUGCUCCCUUCUUCUACUUUCAGAACAUUAUUAUUAUUGACCUCACUUAAAGUAGUUGUAAAUACUACUUCCAGAAGUUGUAAUUAUAUGUGUAUUAAAUUUUGUAGUAGUUAAGGCUAGUGAAAAUGAUAAAGUAUUUUAGGAAUGGUGA